GCCAGUGGUGAACUCCACAUCCGCAUCCUUUGCUGAGGAUACGGUUAACGGAGCGAAAGCGACGUUCAACCGCAAAACAAGCAGAGGGGGCUUAGUGGUGGGGUGACUGCGUACCUUUUGUAUAAUGGGUCAGCGACUUAUAUUCUGUAGCAAGGUUAACCGAAUAGGGGAGCCGGAGGGAAACCGAGUCUUAAUUGGGCGUUAAGUUGCAGGGUAUAGACCCGAAACCCGGUGAUCUAGCCAUGGGCAGGUUGAAGGUUGGGUAACACUAACUGGAGGACCGAACCGACUAAUGUUGAAAAAUUAGCGGAUGACCUGUGGCUGGGGGUGAAAGGCCAAUCAAACCGGGAGAUAGCUGGUUCUCCCCGAAAGCUAUUUAGGUAGCGCCUCGUGAAUUCAUCUCCGGGGGUAGAGCACUGUUUCGGCUAGGGGGCCAUCCCGGCUUACCAACCCGAUGCAAACUGCGAAUACCGGAGAAUGUUAUCACGGGAGACACACGGCGGGUGCUAACGUCCGUCGUGAAGAGGGAAACAACCCAGACCGCCAGCUAAGGUCCCAAAGUCAUGGUUAAGUGGGAAACGAUGUGGGAAGGCCCAGACAGCCAGGAUGUUGGCUUAGAAGCAGCCAUCAUUUAAAGAAAGCGUAAUAGCUCACUGGUCGAGUCGGCCUGCGCGGAAGAUGUAACGGGGCUAAACCAUGCACCGAAGCUGCGGCAGCGAACGUAUCACCCAAGACAACUUUACGGAGUUGACGAUUGACGGAGCGAAGCGACGUCAAAGCGUUCAUUAAAGUCGAGUUGGCUUAGGGAUACGUUCGUUGGGUAGGGGAGCGUUCUGUAAGCCUGUGAAGGUGUGUCGUGAGGCAUGCUGGAGGUAUCAGAAGUGCGAAUGCUGACAUAAGUAACGAUAAAGCGGGUGAAAAGCCCGCUCGCCGGAAGACCAAGGGUUCCUGUCCAACGUUAAUCGGGGCAGGGUGAGUCGACCCCUAAGGCGAGGCCGAAAGGCGUAGUCGAUGGGAAACGGGUUAAUAUUCCCGUACUUGGUGUUACUGCGAAGGGGGGACGGAGAAGGCUAUGUUGGCCGGGCGACGGUUGUCCCGGUUUAAGCGUGUAGGUGUGUGUUCCAGGUAAAUCCGGUUCACUUUAACACUGAGGCGUGACGACGAGGCACUACGGUGCUGAAGCAACAAAUGCCCUGCUUCCAGGAAAAGCCUCUAAGCAUCAGGUAACACGAAAUCGUACCCCAAACCGACACAGGUGGUCAGGUAGAGAAUACCAAGGCGCUUGAGAGAACUCGGGUGAAGGAACUAGGCAAAAUGGUGCCGUAACUUCGGGAGAAGGCACGCUGACACGUAGGUGAAGUGAUUUACUCAUGGAGCUGAAGUCAGUCGAAGAUACCAGCUGGCUGCAACUGUUUAUUAAAAACACAGCACUGUGCAAACACGAAAGUGGACGUAUACGGUGUGACGCCUGCCCGGUGCCGGAAGGUUAAUUGAUGGGGUCAGCGUAAGCGAAGCUCCUGAUCGAAGCCCCGGUAAACGGCGGCCGUAACUAUAACGGUCCUAAGGUAGCGAAAUUCCUUGUCGGGUAAGUUCCGACCUGCACGAAUGGCGUAAUGAUGGCCAGGCUGUCUCCACCCGAGACUCAGUGAAAUUGAACUCGCUGUGAAGAUGCAGUGUACCCGCGGCAAGACGGAAAGACCCCGUGAACCUUUACUAUAGCUUGACACUGAACAUUGAGCCUUGAUGUGUAGGAUAGGUGGGAGGCUUUGAAGUGUGGACGCCAGUCUGCAUGGAGCCGACCUUGAAAUACCACCCUUUAAUGUUUGAUGUUCUAACGUGGACCCGUAAUCCGGGUUGCGGACAGUGUCUGGUGGGUAGUUUGACUGGGGCGGUCUCCUCCUAAAGAGUAACGGAGGAGCACGAAGGUUGGCUAAUCCUGGUCGGACAUCAGGAGGUUAGUGCAAUGGCAUAAGCCAGCUUGACUGCGAGCGUGACGGCGCGAGCAGGUGCGAAAGCAGGUCAUAGUGAUCCGGUGGUUCUGAAUGGAAGGGCCAUCGCUCAACGGAUAAAAGGUACUCCGGGGAUAACAGGCUGAUACCGCCCAAGAGUUCAUAUCGACGGCGGUGUUUGGCACCUCGAUGUCGGCUCAUCACAUCCUGGGGCUGAAGUAGGUCCCAAGGGUAUGGCUGUUCGCCAUUUAAAGUGGUACGCGAGCUGGGUUUAGAACGUCGUGAGACAGUUCGGUCCCUAUCUGCCGUGGGCGCUGGAGAACUGAGGGGGGCUGCUCCUAGUACGAGAGGACCGGAGUGGACGCAUCACUGGUGUUCGGGUUGUCAUGCCAAUGGCACUGCCCGGUAGCUAAAUGCGGAAGAGAUAAGUGCUGAAAGCAUCUAAGCACGAAACUUGCCCCGA
rnacentral:rRNA from 1 species